AGAACACAAAGAGCAUACAAUGCAGAAGAGUCUUUAGGAAAUACAUCCGUAAAAGGGACUCUUCCUGUAGUUCUCCUUCCUGCUUUCACCUGGGCUGGAAGGAUGGGCAUGGCCUGUAUUUAUCAUAUGAAAGUGAUGUUAUUAAAUUUGUCCAUAAGUUCUGACUAUUAUUAUUAUUACUCAUUUUCUGACAGAAAACAUUUUCAUUUUGCCUUUCCCACAUUGUUUUCAGGUUGUGCCCUGGAUGGACAUCUGUGGUCUCAGACAGCGAUUCCCUAGGAGGAAGGGGAGCCUUUGCCUCACCUGCAGAGCUCAGGACAGGAAAAAUCAUUACACCGAUCCCAUCUUUGCCAAAAGCUGUGGUGUUUGAGCAGCCAAAGCCAAGAGGCUUCAGCACCGGGGGUCUUCGCUGGAGGGCUCCUGGUCCUGCCCGUGCUGUGGGCAAGAGGAAAUGGGGUGCCAGAGCCGUGUCCCAUCAGGCUGCGUUUCCCUCUGAGGACAGAGAGUCUGGGCUGGGGCAAGAUUGCCACGAGCGCUUGGGUGAGCAUUCCAGGGAACAGGGAGCUCGGAAUUGCAGGUGCUGCCGGAACCAUUGCCUUAGGUCUGCUCCGUCUGUGUCUCUGAACAGUGGGAUUUGUGCUGGAGAGAGAAGUGCUGUCGGGAACAAAAGGUGGAGUAAAUCCUCUCCGGGGAUGUGCAGCAAAGGACCGAAUAGUGUGGAAGGAGAGUAUUUGUAA
rnacentral:lncRNA from 12 species